rnacentral:rRNA from 1 species
AUGGCAAUGUUUGCCGUUCUGCUGCUGCUGGCAGCGCCGCUGCUUCCACCGGCAGCAGCGCAGCGGCCGCCGGGGUGCCGGCGGCAGUGCGGCAACGUGACCGUCCCCUACCCCUUCGGAAUCGGAGCGCGCUGCCACCGUGGCGAGGGCCGUGGGUUCCGGCUCGAGUGCGACGACACGCGCCACCCACCGCGCCUGACCGUGGCCGGCUACGGCCACGAGGUGGUCGCCAUCUCGCUCGCCUCUGCCGAGGCCACCGUGCUGCUCAACGCCAGCCGCGCCUGCUACGACCGCACCUCCGGCUCCGGCCGCGUUCUUGACCGGCGGGAGUACCCCAUGGCCCUCAACGGCAGCGCCUUCCUCUUCUCCUCCAUGAAGAGCAAGUUCGUGGCCAUCGGCUGCCCCGACCUGGCCUACUUCGUGGACGACGGAGGGUACUACGUGACCGGGUGCAUGUCGGUGUGCCGGCCGUCGGAGAGCGCGCUGCCCGGGUCGUGCCGGGGCGGCGACGGGUGCUGCCAGAGCAACAUCCCGCUGGGUCUGGCCUCCUACCGCCCGCACGUCCGCAGCUUCGGCCGGCGCCAGCAGCAGCAGGGAGGGACGUUCCUGGCCAACUCCACGGGCUGCGCCUACGCGUUCAUGGUGGACGCCUGGUGGUUCUGGUACGCCGGCUCCCACUUCAACAGGACGGGCGACUUCGCCGUGCCCGUCGUGCUGGACUGGGCCAUCAGAGGCGCCGGCGCCGGAGACUCCUGCGCCACCGUGCGGGAGAACGCCACCGCCUACGCGUGCCGGAGCGCGCAGAGCGUGUGCCUGGACUCGACCAACGGCCCGGGCUACGUCUGCAAUUGCACCAGCGGCUACGAGGGGAACCCCUAUGUCCUCGGCGGCUGCAACGGCGACGAGCUGGCCGCCAUGAUCGCACACACCUACGCCGCCGGCGACGAGCUGGCCGCCAUGAUCGCACACUCCUACGCCGCCGGUGUAAGCAUAGGCGUGUUCAUGGUGAUCCUGGCGUGCUUCUGGGCACACCUGAGUCUUCAGAAGAGGAGGAUACUCAGAGCGAAGCAGAGGUUCUUCGAGCAGAACGGUGGGCUCCUACUGCAGCAGCACCUGGGUUCACUGGCCAGCUCCGGGGUGGCAUUCAAGAUCUUUUCCGAGGAGGAGAUCAAGAAGGCCACCGGCAACUUCGACGAGGCACGGGUCCUCGGCCGAGGAGGCAACGGUGUGGUCUACAGGGGCGUCCUCCCCGGCGCCGGCGGCUCCACCACCGUUGCCAUCAAGAGGUCCAGGGUGGCGGAUGAGAAGCAGCUCAAGGAGUUCUCCAAGGAGAUGCUGAUCCUCUCGCAGAUCAACCACAGGAACGUCGUGAAGCUGCUCGGAUGCUGCCUCGAGGUCGAGGUGCCCAUGCUCGUCUACGAGUACGUCCCCAACGGCAGCCUCCACCGCUACAUCCACGGCGACGGCAAGGGCCAGGCGCCCUUGCCGCCGGGGGAGCGCCUUCGCGUCGCCGCCGAGUCGGCGCACGCGCUCGCGUACAUGCACUCGUCCGCCUCGCCCCCGAUCCUGCACGGCGACGUCAAGUCCGCAAACAUCCUGCUCGACGGCGAGCUCACCGCCAAGGUCUCCGACUUCGGCGCGUCAAGGCUCGCGCCCGCCGACGAGGCCCAGGUGGCCACGCUUGUCCAGGGAACCUGCGGGUACCUCGACCCGGAGUAUCUGCUCACGUGCCAGCUCACCUGCAAGAGCGACGUGUACAGCUUCGCGGUGGUGCUGCUGGAGCUCCUCACCGGGAGGAAGGCGUUCUGCCCGGACGGGCCCGAGGAGGAUGACACCAGCCUCGCAUUCUCCUUCGUCACGGCUGUGCAGGGGCGACGACACCGGGAGAUCAUGGACGGAAAUGUCAGGGAGGAGCUCGGGGACGAGGUGAUAGACGACGCCGCGGAGCUGGUUAUACGGUGCCUGAGCUUGACCGGUGACGAGAGGCCGACAAUGAAGGAGGUUGCCGACAAGAUCGAGAGAUUGAGAAACUGCGCAUGCACAAAUGCAACCGUAUAG